rnacentral:rRNA from 1 species
UUAAGCGACUAAGCGUACACGGUGGAUGCCCUGGCAGUCAGAGGCGAUGAAGGACGUGCUAAUCUGCGAAAAGCGUCGGUAAGGUGAUAUGAACCGUUAUAACCGGCGAUGUCCGAAUGGGGAAACCCAGUGCAAUUCGUUGCACUAUCGUUAACUGAAUACAUAGGUUAACGAGGCGAACCGGGGGAACUGAAACAUCUAAGUACCCCGAGGAAAAGAAAUCAACCGAGAUUCCCCCAGUAGCGGCGAGCGAACGGGGAGCAGCCCAGAGUCUGAAUCAGCUUGUGUGUUAGUGGAACGGUCUGGAAAGUCCGACGGUACAGGGUGAUAGUCCCGUACACCAAAAUGCACAGGCUGUGAACUCGAAGAGUAGGGCGGGACACGUGGUAUCCUGUCUGAAUAUGGGGGGACCAUCCUCCAAGGCUAAAUACUCCUGACUGACCGAUAGUGAACCAGUACCGUGAGGGAAAGGCGAAAAGAACCCCGGCGAGGGGAGUGAAAAAGAACCUGAAACCGUGUACGUACAAGCAGUGGGAGCACCUUCGGGUGUGACUGCGUACCUUUUGUAUAAUGGGUCAGCGACUUAUAUUCUGUAGCAAGGUUAACCGUAUAGGGGAGCCGCAGGGAAACCGAGUCUUAACUGGGCGUUAAGUUGCAGGGUAUAGACCCGAAACCCGGUGAUCUAGCCAUGGGCAGGUUGAAGGUUGGGUAACACUAACUGGAGGACCGAACCGACUAAUGUUGAAAAAUUAGCGGAUGACUUGUGGCUGGGGGUGAAAGGCCAAUCAAACCGGGAGAUAGCUGGUUCUCCCCGAAAGCUAUUUAGGUAGCGCCUCGUGAACUCAUCUUCGGGGGUAGAGCACUGUUUCGGCUAGGGGGUCAUCCCGACUUACCAACCCGAUGCAAACUACGAAUACCGAAGAAUGUUAUCACGGGAGACACACGGCGGGUGCUAACGUCCGUCGUGAAGAGGGAAACAACCCAGACCGCCAGCUAAGGUCCCAAAGUCAUGGUUAAGUGGGAAACGAUGUGGGAAGGCACAGACAGCCAGGAUGUUGGCUUAGAAGCAGCCAUCAUUUAAAGAAAGCGUAAUAGCUCACUGGUCGAGUCGGCCUGCGCGGAAGAUGUAACGGGGCUAAACCAUGCACCGAAGCUGCGGCAGCGACACGAUGUGUUGUUGGGUAGGGGAGCGUUCUGUAAGCCUGCGAAGGUGACCUGUGAGGGUUGCUGGAGGUAUCAGAAGUGCGAAUGCUGACAUAAGUAACGAUAAAGCGGGUGAAAAGCCCGCUCGCCGGAAGACCAAGGGUUCCUGUCCAACGUUAAUCGGGGCAGGGUGAGUCGACCCCUAAGGCGAGGCCGAAAGGCGUAGUCGAUGGGAAACAGGUUAAUAUUCCUGUACUUGGUGUUACUGCGAAGGGGGGACGGAGAAGGCUAUGUUAGCCGGGCGACGGUUGUCCCGGUUUAAGCAUGUAGGCUGGUUAUCCAGGCAAAUCCGGAUAAUCAAGGCUGAGGUGUGAUGACGAGGCACUACGGUGCUGAAGUAACAAAUGCCCUGCUUCCAGGAAAAGCCUCUAAGCAUCAGGUAACAUCAAAUCGUACCCCAAACCGACACAGGUGGUCAGGUAGAGAAUACCAAGGCGCUUGAGAGAACUCGGGUGAAGGAACUAGGCAAAAUGGUGCCGUAACUUCGGGAGAAGGCACGCUGGUGUGUAGGUGAAGCCCCUGCGGGUGGAGCUGAGACCAGUCGAAGAUACCAGCUGGCUGCAACUGUUUAUUAAAAACACAGCACUGUGCAAACACGAAAGUGGACGUAUACGGUGUGACGCCUGCCCGGUGCCGGAAGGUUAAUUGAUGGGGUUAUCCGUAAGGAGAAGCUCUUGAUCGAAGCCCCGGUAAACGGCGGCCGUAACUAUAACGGUCCUAAGGUAGCGAAAUUCCUUGUCGGGUAAGUUCCGACCUGCACGAAUGGCGUAAUGAUGGCCAGGCUGUCUCCACCCGAGACUCAGUGAAAUUGAACUCGCUGUGAAGAUGCAGUGUACCCGCGGCAAGACGGAAAGACCCCGUGAACCUUUACUAUAGCUUGACACUGAACAUUGAGCCUUGAUGUGUAGGAUAGGUGGGAGGCUUUGAAGCGUGGACGCCAGUCUGCGUGGAGCCAACCUUGAAAUACCACCCUUUAAUGUUUGAUGUUCUAACGUUGGCCCCUUACCGGGGUUGCGGACAGUGUCUGGUGGGUAGUUUGACUGGGGCGGUCUCCUCCCAAAGCGUAACGGAGGAGCACGAAGGUUAGCUAAUCCUGGUCGGACAUCAGGAGGUUAGUGCAAUGGCAUAAGCUAGCUUGACUGCGAGCGUGACGGCGCGAGCAGGUGCGAAAGCAGGUCAUAGUGAUCCGGUGGUUCUGAAUGGAAGGGCCAUCGCUCAACGGAUAAAAGGUACUCCGGGGAUAACAGGCUGAUACCGCCCAAGAGUUCAUAUCGACGGCGGUGUUUGGCACCUCGAUGUCGGCUCAUCACAUCCUGGGGCUGAAGUAGGUCCCAAGGGUAUGGCUGUUCGCCAUUUAAAGUGGUACGCGAGCUGGGUUUAGAACGUCGUGAGACAGUUCGGUCCCUAUCUGCCGUGGGCGCUGGAGAAUUGAGGGGGGCUGCUCCUAGUACGAGAGGACCGGAGUGGACGCAUCACUGGUGUUCGGGUUGUCAUGCCAAUGGCACUGCCCGGUAGCUAAAUGCGGAAGAGAUAAGUGCUGAAAGCAUCUAAGCACGAAACUUGCCCCGAGAUGAGUUCUCCCUGAGACUUUAAGUCUCCUGAAGGAACGUUGAAGACGACGACGUUGAUAGGCCGGGUGUGUAAGCGCAGCGAUGCGUUGAGCUAACCGGUACUAAUGAACCGUGAGGCUUAACCU